rnacentral:lncRNA from 1 species
UACUCAAUCCAAAUAUGCCUUUAAAAAGUCGUAAAAAAAUACUGCCAUGUUGCUCUCCAAAAAGAUUGCAUCCAUUUGUACUCCCAGCAACAGUGUAUAAGAGAGCCUACUGUCUUACACCAACUGGGGGGAUGAUUUCCUAAGUAGGAUGACUAGGAAAAUACAGGUCAUAACCCCACUUAGGCAACUCUCAGGAGCUGUGCCCACACUUCCAUAACAGUGCCAGUAUAUGGUAGACACUCAACAGUCACCCAUUGUCAACUCAUCUGCUCAGCCCAUGACGUGGGAAAAACUCAUCCAAAUAACUGGAUUAUCUGCUGUGAUUCCAACACAUUUUAUUGUGCAGAGAAUAAUAAUGAUAUUGAUGAUGAUGGCGACAAUUCUUAAGCCCUUACUGUGUGUCAUAUGCAAAAUUAAGUGCUUUUCAAGUAUUAUCUCACUUACUCUUCUUAACACUCCUGUGAAGCAAGUUUUAUUAUUUUCUAGAAGAAAACCAAGGCUCAGAGAAGCAAAGUUAUCUUCCCAAGAAUAUCAAGAUGAUAAGUGGCAGACUGACAAUGUGAACCCAGGUCAGUGACAUGGUUUGGAUAUUUGUCCCCUCCAAAUCUCAUGUUGAAAUGUUUUCUCCAGUGUUAUAGGUGGGGCCUAGCAGGAGGUGUUUGGGUCAUGAGAGCGGAUCCCUCAUGAAUGGCUUAGGUGCCCUCCCCUUGGUGAUAAGUGAGUUCUCAAUUAAUUCACAUGAGAGCUAGUUGUUUAAAAGAGCCUGGUGCCUCUUCCCCCAUCUCUUGCUUCCUUCUCUCAUCAUGUGAUACACCGGCUCCCCAUCACCUUUCUGCCACGGUUAUAAGCUUCCUGAAGCCUCACCAGGAGCAGAUGCUGGUACUGUGUUUCAUAUACAGCCUGCAGGACUGUAAGCCAAAUAAUAAACCUUGUUUUUUUAAAUAAAUAAAUUACCCAGUCUCAGGUAUUCCGUUGUAACAAUGCAAAAUGAACUAAUACAGAAAAUUGGUGCUAAGGAGUAGAAUGUUGCUAUGAAGAUACCUGAAGGUGUGGAAGCAGCUCUGGAACUGGGUAAUGAGCAGAGGUUGGAAGAGUUUGGAGGGCUCAGGGCUCAAAAGAUGACAAAAAGACAAGGGAAGGUUUGGACCUUCUUUGAGACUAGUUAAAUGGUAAUAACUAAAAUACUGAUAGAAAUAGGGACAGCAAAGGCCAGGCUGAGGUGGUCUCAAGUGGAAAUGAGGCAGUUAUUGGGAACUGGAAUAAAAAUCACCCUUUUUAUGCCUUAGCAAAUAAUUUGUCUGUAUUGUGUCCAUGCCCGGGGGAUUUGUGGGAGGUUGAACUUAAGAGUGAUGACUUAGAGUAUCUGGUAAAAUAAAUUUCUAGGGCGGGCACAGUAGCUCACACUUGUAAUCCCAGCACUUUGGAAGGCCAAGGCGGGUGGAUCACAAGGUCAGGAGUUUGAGACCAGCCUAGCCAAUAUGGUGAAACCCCAUCUCUACUAAAAAUACAAAAAUUAGACUGGCAUGGUGGCAGGCGCCUGUAAUCCCAGCUACUUGGGAGGCUGAGGCAGGAGAAUAGCUUGAACCCAGGAGGUGGAGGUUGUAGUGAGCUGAGAUUGUGCCACUGCACUCUAGCCUGGGUGACAGAGUGAGACUCUGUCUCGAAAAAAAAAAAAAUUAUAAGAAACAAAGCAUUCAAGAUGUGGCAUGGCUGCUUCGAACAGCCUAAGAUCAGGAAUAGGUGUAAAGGAAUGACUUAAAGUUGGAACUUAUAAUUAAAAGGAAAACAGAGCAUAAAAAUUUGGAAAAUUUGCAGCCUGGCCAUGCAGUGAAGAAGGAAAAGGCAUUUGCAGGAGAGAAAUAUAAGAGAGCUGUGGAACAAUCACUUCCUAGAGAGAUUUGCAUGACUAAAAGGGAAACAGGUGCUGAUAGCCAAGACCAGAGUUUAAAAAAGGCAUUGAAGUCAUUUCAGAAACCUCUGGGACAGUCCCUCCCAUUACAGGCCCAGAAGCCUAAAGGAAAUAAUGGUUUUGGAGGCCACGCUCAGGGGAUGCCUAGUGCUACCUCAGGACACUGCUGCCCACAUCCCAGUUUCUCUGGCUCCAGCAGUGGCUCAAAGUGCCCCAGGUACCAUUCCAGCUGUUACUCUGGAGGGAGCAAGCUAUAAGCCUUGGUGGCUUCCACAUAGUGCUAAGUCUACAGGUGCACAGAGUACAAGAGAAGGAGGCUUUGCAGCUUCCACCUAGAUUUCAGAAGAUGUAUAGAAAAGCCUGGGUGCCCAAGCAGAAGCCUACCACAGGGGUGGAGCCCCCACAAAGAGACUCUACCAGGGCAGUGCCAAGGGGAUAUGUGGGGUUGGAGCCCCUGACACUUCCUAGUGGAGCCGUGGGAAGGGGGUUCUUGCCCUCUAGACCCAAGAAGGGUAGAGCCACCGGCUUGCACCCUGAGCCUGGAAAAACCACAGGCACUCAACUCCAAUCUGUGAGAGCAGACCCAGGGGCUGGAACCCUUCAAAGCCACAGGGGCAGAGCUGCCCAGGGCCUUGGGAGCCCAUCCUUUGCAUCAGUAUGUCCUGGAUGUGGAACAUGGGGUCAAAGACUAUUUUGGAGCUUUAAGAUUUAAUGUCUGCUCUGCUGUGUUUCAGACUCAAGUGGGGCCUGCUGUCCCUUUCUUUUGGCCAAAUUCUCCCUUUUGGAAUGGGAAUGUGUACCCAAUGCCUGUGCCACCAUUGUAUCUUAUAAGUAAAUAACUUAUUCUUGAUUUUACAAGCUCGUAGGUGCAAGGAACUUGCCUUGAGUCUCAGAUGAGACUUUGAACUUCUGAUUGAGUUGAUGCUGGAAUAAAUUAAGACUUUAGGGGACUAUUGGGCAGGAAUGAUUGUAUUUUGCGAUGUGAGAAGGACAUGAGAUUUGGAGUACCAGGGGCAGAAAAUAUGGCUUAGAUAUUUGUCCCCUCCAAACGUCGUGUUGAAAUGUGAUCUCCAAUGUUGGAGGUGGGGCCUAGUAGAAGGUAGAGUCAUAGGGACAGAUCCCUCAUGAACAGCUUGGUGCCCUCCCCUUGGUAAUGAGUGAGCUCUCACUCUUUAGUGAGUUUUCACUCUAUUAGUUCUCACUCUAUUAGUAUGAGAGAGCUAGUUGUUUCAAAAAGUCUGCCACCUCCUCCCUGUCUCUUGCUUCCUCUUGCCAUGUGAUACACUGGCUCCCCUGUUGCCUUCUGCCAUGAGUGAAGGCUUGCUGUGGCCUCACCUGGGGCAGAUGCUGGCAACUACACUUCUUGUUCAGCCUACAGAACCAUGAGCCAAACAAGCCUCUUUUCUCUAUAAAUUACCCAGUCUCGGGUAUUCCUUUAUAGCAACACAAACAGACUAACACAGUCAGUCAUGAGCUAACUCUGCAGCUCAUGCUUUGAACCACUUUGUUCCUCUUUGGCGCUGCUCCCCCUCCCUCAUUUCUUCCCCAGAUUAUUCUGUUGCCAUCAUUUCUUCAUAUGAAAUACCUGUAGUCAUUUGGGUCUAGACUGGGCAUGGGUAGUUAUAGCACUCACCUGGAGAACAUGAUGGAUUUUGCCUUUGGGACUUCUAAGCCCAUGGUUAAACAUUACACUCUCAGAAGAAAAGGCCUGGAUUUAUAAGUGACCAGCAGGGCAUACUGAAUCAGUACCUAGUACCUCCUGUG